GACCCCGCACAAGCGGCGGAGCAUGCGGCUUAAUUCGAUGAUACCCGUAGAACCUUACCUGGACUUGACAUAUAGGGAAAAACUAAAGAAAUUUAGUGUGCGUAAGCGCCCUAUACAGGUGGUGCAUGGCUGUCGUCAGCUCGUGUCGUGAGAUGUUGGUUAAGUCCCGCAACGAGCGCAACCCCUGUCCUAUGUUGCCAGCAUUUAGUUGGGGACUCAUAGGAGACUGCCGGUGAUAAACCGGAGGAAGGUGGGGAUGACGUCAAGUCAUCAUGCCCCUUAUGUCCAGGGCUGCACGCAUGCUACAAUGGCAAGUACAGAGAGCAGCCACUUCGCAAGAAGGAGCG
rnacentral:rRNA from 1 species